rnacentral:misc_RNA from 1 species
GUGAAGAACGUAGCGAAAUGCGAUACUUGGUGUGAAUUGCAGAAUCCCGUGAACCAUCGAGUCUUUGAACGCAAGUUGCGCCUCAAGCCAUUAGGUUGAGGGCACGUCUGCCUGGGCGUCACAUAUCGUUGCCUGAUGCCAGUUUCCUCGUGAUGGGUGACUGUGCAGGGCGAAUGAUGGCUUCCCGUGAGCAUUGUUGCCUCAUGGUUGGUUGAAAAUUGAGUCCUUGGUAGGGAGCGCCGUGAUAGAUGGUGGUUGAGUGACGAACGAGACCCAAUCAUGUGAGACCCCUACCGAAUUUGGCCUUCAUGACCCACAUGCGUCUUUGGAACGCUCAUGACGAGACCUCAGGUCAGGCGGGGCUACCCGCUGAGUUUAAGCAUAUCAAUAAGCGGAGGA